GCCUCCAGGGAGUUAAAAAUCCAUCCUCUAGCAGAAUGGUACUGGAAAGGCCAGCCAUAGAUGGUGAUAGCCCAGUAUGCGAAAGGGGAAUGGACUCCCGCCGGUGACCCUGAGUACCACGGGGCACGCUAAUCCUGUGGGAAGCAGGGAGGCCCACCUCCCAAGGCUAAAUACCUUUGGCGACCGAUAGUGAACAAGUACCGUGAGGGAAAGGUGAAAAGAACCCCGGUUAGGGGAGUGAAAUAGAACCUGAAACCGUAUGCCUACAAGCAGUCGGAGGGCUAUGCCGACCGAGGAUUGGUUGGAAUGCCUGACGGCGUGCCUUUUGGAGAAUGAGCCGGCGAGUUAAUCUCUGUGGCAAGGUUAAGGGAGUUACACCCGGAGCCGUAGCGAAAGCGAGUCCGAAGAGGGCGUAAUCAGCUAGAUGAUAGCUGAGAAGUCGCAGGGAUUAGACACGAAACCAGGUGAGCUACCCAUGGCCAGGGUGAAGCGAGACUAACCUCUCGUGGAGGCCCGAACCCUUCAGAGUUGCAAUUCUGAGGGAUGAGCUGUGGGUAGAGGUGAUAUGCCAAACGAACCUGGAGAUAGCUUGUUCUCCCCGAAAUAGCUUUAAGGCUAGCCUCAAGCGUUCAGUGGCGGAGGUAGAGCACUGAAUCGGCUAGGGGGCAUUGCGCUUACCAAACCGAAUCAAACUCCGAAUGCCGUCACUUAAAGCUUGGGAGUCGGACGGUGGGAGAUGAGUUUCAUCGUCGCGAGGGGAAGAGCCCAGACCGUCGGCUAAGGUUCUCAAGUCCUGGCUAAGUGGGGAAGGAUGUGGGAUUACUCAGACAGCCAGGAGGUUGGCCUAGAAGCAGCCAUCCUUUAAAGAGUGCGUAAUAGCUCACUGGUCAAGUGAUCCUGCGCCGAAAAUUUAACGGAGCUUAAGCCAGGCACCGAAGCCACGGAAUUCAGACUAGGAUCUGGAUUGGUAGGGGAGCGUUCCGUACUGCGUAGAAGCCGUACCGGAAGGAGCGGUGGAGCGUACGGAAGUGAGAAUGCCGGCAUGAGUAGCGCAAAAAGCGUGAGAAACGCUUUCGCCGUAAGCCUAAGGUUUCCGACGGAAGGUUAAUCCGCGUCGGGUUAGUCGGGCCUAAGCCGAGGGCGCAAGCCGUAGGCGAUGGACAACAGGUUAAUAUUCCUGUACCACCUGGGUGGAGCGAUGGGGGGACGCAGCAUGGUAGGCCAGCCCCUUAUCGGAUUGGGGUGCUAAGCUCGUAGGGAGAAGAGGGUGGUAGGAAAAUCCGCCACCUGAUCCUGAGGAGUGGGCGGUGCCUUGAGCCAGAAGUGGUUGAGCCAAGCUGCCGAGAAAAGCCUCUAAGCUGUGAAACCCAGGUGCCCGUACCGCAAACCGACACUGGUAGGUGGGGUGAGUAUCCCAAGGCGAUCGGGAGAACCCUCGUUAAGGAACUAGGCAAAAUUGCCCCGUAACUUCGGGAGAAGGGGUGCCCCGUUAGGGUGAAGCGACUAGCUCGUGGAGCCCGAGGGGGCCGCAGAGAAAUGGCCCUGCCGACUGGUUAACAAAACCACAGGUCUCUGCUAACUCGAAAGAGGAAGUAUAGGGGCUGACGCCUGCCCAGUGCCGGAAGGUUAAGGGGAAGGGUUAAUCCUUGUAGCUGGGAACUGGAAGCUGGAAAGCUGGAAAUCGAGAUGGCAACAUCCGAGGACCUGCCUCCGGCAACCAGCUAUCCGGCAUCAAGGAUGAAGCUCGGAACCGAAGCCCCGGUGAACGGCGGCCGUAAGGAAGUUGCGGC
rnacentral:rRNA from 1 species